rnacentral:lncRNA from 1 species
GCUGCUGCUGGGAGGACGACGGACGGCAGCGGCCAAGCAAGAAGAAAGACGUGGCAGCAAGCGGGAGUCGGGGAUAGUGUCAUCGGUUCGGUAAAGUUUCUGUUCUCUGGACUGGUGAAACCGUAAUGAAGAACACCCCUAAACUCCCAUAAUCGGUGCGGAUUCCUAUGGGGAAGGCCUAUAUUGUUGACAUCUUCCAGGCCUUGGUUCUGGACCUUGAGAAAGAGGCUGUGGAACUAGAGAUAGCGAUGCUUUUUAGGGUAAAUGUAUGUAGGUAUUGGGGGAAGGGGAGGGAUCAAUCGAAAAAUGGAAGUGGUUUAAAGUUCAUAUUUCACUUUUUGCUAUCUCUAUAGCGUACAACUUGUGAGUUACUUACAGGCUGUAAAAGCUUCUCAAGUCUAAAAAUAUCUGAAAACUAAACUUGAAUUAACUCUUAAUACAAACAGU